ACACUGAACAUUGAGCCUUGAUGUGUAGGAUAGGUGGGAGGCUUUGAAGUGUGGACGCCAGUCUGCAUGGAGCCGACCUUGAAAUACCACCCUUUAAUGUUUGAUGUUCUAACGUUGACCCGUGAUCCGGGUUGCGGACAGUGUCUGGUGGGUAGUUUGACUGGGGCGGUCUCCUCCUAAAGAGUAACGGAGGAGCACGAAGGUUGGCUAAUCCUGGUCGGACAUCAGGAGGUUAGUGCAAUGGCAUAAGCCAGCUUGACUGCGAGCGUGACGGCGCGAGCAGGUGCGAAAGCAGGUCAUAGUGAUCCGGUGGUUCUGAAUGGAAGGGCCAUCGCUCAACGGAUAAAAGGUACUCCGGGGAUAACAGGCUGAUACCGCCCAAGAGUUCAUAUCGACGGCGGUGUUUGGCACCUCGAUGUCGGCUCAUCACAUCCUGGGGCUGAAGUAGGUCCCAAGGGUAUGGCUGUUCGC
rnacentral:rRNA from 1 species